UGGGCACCAUCUGAAAAAGAACUGAACAUAAUGCUCAAAUCUCAGAAUGACUUGUUCUUUCUUACACAGUAACAUUUUAAACAAAUAAUUCCAACUACCAAGAAGGUCUUUUUAAUUUUUUUUUCCAUUCAGGUGUUAUACUCAUUUGUAAAGCUACCAUCCUGCCCUAUACUCUUCCUCCUUUAUUUUUACCUCCACGAUUUUCUCUAGAACGGGUUUUAUGGAUUGACACCCAACUGGUGUAACAUUUCUCAGCUGUACUGUUUGCUCCAAGGACUUUAAGCUGCUUUUUAGGUUUUCAGAACAAGAUUGUGCCAGCUUCAGGAAAUGGUUUUUGAAUUUCUCCAUAUUUGUUACAGACAACUUAAAUGCUAUGCAGCUGGUUUGAGCCUUAUCUUCUUGGUGAUUUUUGGAAGGUAAAUCAUUUGGGCUCAUGAGGAACAGAGGAGCCAAACCACUAUUGAGAAGAUUGCUGUUCACCAUUUUGACAACCACACAAGCCACAGAUGAUACUCUCAGAUUCUAAAGCCUGCCUCCAUUCUCUGGCUGUGGCCCCUUCCUCCAUCUUCAAAUCUAGCAAUUCUGCGAAAAUCUUUCUUAUGAUGCAUUUCUCUGGUUCCAACUCCUCUGCCUCCCCUUUCACCAUUUAAGGACCCUCUGAUUAAACUGGACUCACCCAGAAAAUCCAGGGUAAUCUUUUCAUUUUAACAUCAGCUGAUUGGCAACCUUGCUUCCAUCUGCUACCUGAAUUCCCUUAGCCAUGUAAGGUAAUAUAUUCACAAGUUCUGGAGAAGAAGACAUGUACUUCUUUGGAGUGACAGAGGGACUAGCUACUACACACUGGAAGAAUCAAAUAUUCAAUAUGAGGAUAUUGACACAAGGAAGAACACAUACAAGAAUUUUAUGUAAAAGGGGUCUAAGAAUGACCAGGAGUUAAUGCGGUAAAGAGAGCAUGAAAGAACAUUUCAAUCCCCAGGAACAGUGCGAGCAAAGGAAUGAAGUGAAGAGAGGAAAUCAAGUCUGGGUUAUCGGACUUACUGCUGAGUGAUUUUACAGCUUGGAAGUAACACUUCUCUGGUAGCCAGGUUCUCCAGAAGUGUGCUUGUGAGCUCACAGGUUUGUCAUUGGU